UAUUGGGCCUAUAGCUUUCCCCGUCCCCCCUUUGUCAGGUGGUGCUUGUGUGGGCGGUGCGCCACCAGAAAUCGAGCUUGAAGCUCUUGCCUUACCAACGAGUCGACAACUAAUGGUUGUUGGUCACGACUACUACCAAAAAGCUCUAAUGAAGAUGAUUAUUUCACAUGGGGAGUUUGCAUUUGUAUGUUGGGUGUUCUUCUGUCUAACACUAAGAAGAUAAUGAUAGAACACCUAUGCAAUCAUUGA